AAGGGAGACCUAAUUCAGGUAGGAGACGAAAAAAAAGUAGUCCCAACCAAGAAUCAAUCCCAAAAGGUCGGAACGAGGUAUGAGGCUUUCAAACUAGGUUCUGGGUUCAUAAAAGACCUGAAUCAGGAACAAGGGCUAUUAGCUCAGGUGGUUAGAGCGCACCCCUGAUAAGGGUGAGGUCCCUGGUUCGAGUCCAGGAUGGCCCACCUGCACAGGUGGCAAAAACAAGAGAAGCUCCGAAUCAGCACCUUAUCUUAUAUACAUAUAUAAGAGAGAAUGCUGGCUCUGAGUACAGAGUCCAGAGGAACCUUGAAAACUGCAUAGAGCUAGGUGAAAAAGCCAAAAAAGAAGACCGCAA
rnacentral:tRNA from 1 species